GAGAAGAACGCAGCGAAAUGCGAUAAGUAAUGUGAAUUGCAGAAUUCAGUGAAUCAUCGAAUCUUUGAACGCACAUUGCGGCCAUAGGUAUUCCUUUGGCCAUGCCUGUUCGAGCGUCAUUUACACCCUCAAGCCUAGCUUGGUGUUGGGCGUCUGUCCCGCCGUUUUCGCGCGCGGACUCGCCUCAAAGUCAUUGGCGGCGGUCGUGCCGGCCCCCUCGCGCAGCACAUUUGCGCUUCUCGGAGGCCCGGCGGAUCCGCGCUCCAGCAAGACCUUUCACGACUUGACCUCGGAUCAGGUAGGGAUACCCGCUGAACUUAAGCAUAUCAAUAAGCGGAGGA
rnacentral:misc_RNA from 1 species